rnacentral:rRNA from 1 species
GGCGGCGCGCUUAACACAUGCAAGUCGCACGAGAAAGGGGGCAACCCUGAGUACAGUGGCGUACGGGUGAGUAACACGUGGGUGAUCUACCUCUUAGUGGGGAAUAACCCUGGGAAACCGGGGCUAAUACCGCAUAAGCUCGAGAGAGGAAAGCAGAAAUGCGCUGAGAGAGGAGCCCGCGGCCGAUUAGCUAGUUGGGAGGGUAAGAGCCUACCAAGGCAGAGAUCGGUAGCCGGCCUGAGAGGGCACACGGCCACACUGGCACUGAAACACGGGCCAGACUCCUACGGGAGGCAGCAGUGGGGAAUCUUGCACAAUGGGGGAAACCCUGAUGCAGCGACGCCGCGUGAGCGAUGAAGCCCUUCGGGGUGUAAAGCUCUUUCGUCAGGGAAGAUGAUGACGGUACCUGGAGAAGCAGCUGCGGCUAACUACGUGCCAGCAGCCGCGGUAAUACGUAGGCAGCGAGCGUUGUUCGGAGUUACUGGGCGUAAAGGGUGUGUAGGCGGUUCUUUAAGUUUGGUGUGAAAUCUCCCGGCUCAACCGGGAGGGUGCGCCGAAUACUGAGGGACUCGAGUGCGGGAGAGGAAAGUGGAAUUCCUGGUGUAGCGGUGAAAUGCGUAGAUAUCAGGAGGAACACCGGUGGUGUAGACGGCUUUCUGGACCGUAACUGACGCUGAGACACGAAAGCGUGGGUAGCAAACAGGAUUAGAUACCCUGGUAGUCCACGCCCUAAACGAUGCAUAUUUGGGUGUGGGUCAUUCAGUUGAUCCGUGCCGGAGCUAACGCGUUAAAUAUGCCGCCUGGGGAG